rnacentral:rRNA from 1 species
CCCUUAGAUGUUCUGGGCCGUACGCGUGCUACACUGAGUAAUUCAAUGGGUAAGGGAACGCUAGAGCAUUACCUAAUCUUGAAAUUUGCUCGUGAUGGGGAUCGACGGUUGCAAUUUUCCGUCGUGAACGAGGAAUACCUUGUAGGCGCAUGUCAUCAUCAUGCGCCGAAUACGUCCCUGCCCUUUGUACACACCGCCCGUCGCUCCUACCGAUUGAGUGAUCCGGUGAGGCUCUGGGACCUGGACGGAAAGAGCGUUUCGCUUGUUCUGUUUGGGAAACUUGGUCGAACCUUAUCAUUUAGAGGAAGGAGAAGUCGUAACA